GUAGCCAUAUCACGUUCAAACACCGGCUCCCGUUCGAUCAAGGAAGUUAAGCAACCUCGAACCUAGUCAGUACCUAGAUGGGUGACCGCUUGGGUAUACCAGGUGCUGUGA